rnacentral:rRNA from 1 species
UACGUAGGGGCGCAAGCGUUAUCCGGAAUUAUUGGGCGUAAAGAGCUCGUAGGCGGUUUGUCGCGUCUGCCGUGAAAGUCCGGGGCUCAACUCCGGAUCUGCGGUGGGUACGGGCAGACUAGAGUGAUGUAGGGGAGACUGGAAUUCCUGGUGUAGCGGUGAAAUGCGCAGAUAUCAGGAGGAACACCGAUGGCGAAGGCAGGUCUCUGGGCAUUAACUGACGCUGAGGAGCGAAAGCAUGGGGAGCGAACAGG